UACGAAGGGGGCUAGCGUUGCUCGGAAUCACUGGGCGUAAAGCGCACGUAGGCGGAUUGUUAAGUCAGGGGUGAAAUCCUGGAGCUCAACUCCAGAACUGCCUUUGAUACUGGCGAUCUUGAGUCCGGUAGAGGUGAGUGGAACUGCGAGUGUAGAGGUGAAAUUCGUAGAUAUUCGCAAGAACACCAGUGGCGAAGGCGGCUCACUGGCGCGGUACUGACGCUGAGGUGCGAAAGCGUGGGGAGCAAACAGG
rnacentral:rRNA from 1 species